rnacentral:rRNA from 1 species
UUUUAUGGAGAGUUUGAUCCUGGCUCAGGAUGAACGCUGGCGGCGUGCCUAAUACAUGCAAGUCGAGCGAACAGACGAGGUGCUUGCACCUCUGACGUUAGCGGCGGACGGGUGAGUAACACGUGGGUAACCUACCUAUAAGACUGGGAUAACUCCGGGAAACCGGGGCUAAUACCGGAUAACAUAUUGAACCGCAUGGUUCAAUAGUGAAAGACGGUUUUGCUGUCACUUAUAGAUGGACCCGCGCCGUAUUAGCUAGUUGGUGAGGUAACGGCUCACCAAGGCGACGAUACGUAGCCGACCUGAGAGGGUGAUCGGCCACACUGGAACUGAGACACGGUCCAGACUCCUACGGGAGGCAGCAGUAGGGAAUCUUCCGCAAUGGGCGAAAGCCUGACGGAGCAACGCCGCGUGAGUGAUGAAGGUCUUCGGAUCGUAAAGCUCUGUUAUUAGGGAAGAACAAACGUGUAAGUAACUGUGCACGUCUUGACGGUACCUAAUCAGAAAGCCACGGCUAACUACGUGCCAGCAGCCGCGGUAAUACGUAGGUGGCAAGCGUUAUCCGGAAUUAUUGGGCGUAAAGCGCGCGUAGGCGGUUUUUUAAGUCUGAUGUGAAAGCCCACGGCUCAACCGUGGAGGGUCAUUGGAAACUGGAAAACUUGAGUGCAGAAGAGGAAAGUGGAAUUCCAUGUGUAGCGGUGAAAUGCGCAGAGAUAUGGAGGAACACCAGUGGCGAAGGCGGCUUUCUGGUCUGCAACUGACGCUGAUGUGCGAAAGCGUGGGGAUCAAACAGGAUUAGAUACCCUGGUAGUCCACGCCGUAAACGAUGAGUGCUAAGUGUUAGGGGG